rnacentral:rRNA from 1 species
AGAGUUUGAUUAUGGCUCAGGAUGAACGCUGGCGGCAUGCCUAAUACAUGCAAGUCGAACGAGAGACCUUCGGGUCUCUAGUGGCGAACGGGUGAGUAACACGUAGGGAACCUGCCCGCGCACCGGGAAUACGCUCUGGAAACGGAGAACAAAUCCCGAUGUACAGGAAGGAGGCAUCUUCUUUCUGUGAAACAUCCUUUAGGGGAUGGGGCGCGGAUGGACCUGCGGUGCAUUAGUUGGUUGGCGGGGUAAAGGCCCACCAAGACGAUGAUGCAUAGCCGGCCUGAGAGGGCGGACGGCCACAUUGGGACUGAGACACGGCCCAGACUCCUGCGGGAGGCAGCAGUAGGGAAUUUUCGUCAAUGGGCGCAAGCCUGAACGAGCGAUGCCGCGUGAGUGAAGAAGGCCUUCGGGUCGUAAAGCUCUGUUGCGGGGGAAAAAAGGCAGCAUCAGGAAAUGGGUGCUGACUGAUGGUGCCCCGCCAGAAAGUCACGGCUAACUACGUGCCAGCAGCCGCGGUAAUACGUAGGUGGCGAGCGUUAUCCGGAAUGAUUGGGCGUAAAAGGUGCG